rnacentral:rRNA from 1 species
UACGUAGGUGGCAAGCGUUACUCGGAAUCACUAGGCGUAAAGCGCGCGUAGGAGGUUUAGUAAGUCUGUUGUGAAAGCUCCCGGCUUAACUGGGAGAGGUCAACGGAAACUGCUAGGCUAGAGUGCGGUAGAGGUAGCUGGAAUUCCCGGUGUAGCGGUGAAAUGCGUAGAUAUCGGGAGGAAUACCUAUGGCGAAAGCAGGCUACUGGACCGUCACUGACUCUGAUCUGCGAAAGCGUGGGGAGCAAACAGG